rnacentral:tRNA from 1 species
GCCGAAGUGGCGGAAUGGCAGACGCGCUAGGUUCAGGGUCUAGUGGGAGUAGUCCCGUGCGGGUUCAAGUCCCGCCUUCGGCACCA